AUUGAACGCUGGCGGCAGGCCUAACACAUGCAAGUCGAACGAGUGGCGGACGGGUGAGUAAUGUCUGGGAAACUGCCUGAUGGAGGGGGAUAACUACUGGAAACGGUAGCUAAUACCGCAUACCAUCAGAUGUGCCCAGAUGGGAUUAGCUAGUUGGUGGGGUAACGGCUCACCAAGGCGACGAUCCCUAGCUGGUCUGAGAGGAUGACCAGCAAAACUGGAACUGAGACACGGUCCAGAUUCCUACGGGAGGCAGCAGGGGGGAAUAUUGACCAAUGGGCGCAAGCCGGAGGCAGCCAGGCGGGGUGUAUGAAGAGGGCUUUCGGGUUGUAAAGUACUUUAAGCGGGGAGGGGUUACCCGCAGAAGAAGCACCGCCUAACUCCGGGCCAGCGGCCGCGGUAAUU
rnacentral:rRNA from 1 species